GACGAACGCUGGCGGCGUGCUUAACACAUGCAAGUCGAACGGAAAGGCCCUGCUUUUGUGGGGUGCUCGAGUGGCGAACGGGUGAGUAACACGUGAGUAACCUGCCCUUGCCUUUGGGAUAACUUCAGGCAACUGGGGCUAAUACCGGAUAGGAGCUCCUGCUGCAUGGUGGGGGUUGGAAAGUUGAGGCGGUUUGGGAUGGGCUCGCGGCUUAUCAGCUUGUUGGUGGGGUAGUGGCUUACCAAGGCUUUGACGGGUAGCCGGCCUGAGAGGGUGACCGGCCACAUGGGGACUGAGAUACGGCCCAGACUCCUACGGGAGGCAGCAGUGGGGAAUAUUGCACAAUGGGCGGAAGCCUGAUGCAGCAACGCCGCGUUCGGGAUUACGGCCUUCGGGUUGUAAACCGCUUUCGCCGGUGACGAAGCGUGAGUGACGGUAAUGUGUAAAGAAGCACCGGCUAACUACGUG
rnacentral:rRNA from 1 species